rnacentral:snoRNA from 1 species
CUUCAGAUGAUGAUCCCACCCUUGGCUGAUGUGAUGAUGAAGCCUCGUGGUUCUGACA